rnacentral:rRNA from 1 species
GUCUACGGCCAUACCACCCUGAACGCGCCCGAUCUCGUCUGAUCUCGGAAGCUAAGCAGGGUCGGGCCUGGUUAGUACUUGGAUGGGAGAAUAAGAAGUAAGAAGAUUAUAUACA